rnacentral:lncRNA from 1 species
CCAGCUACUCAGGAGGCUGAGGCAGGAGAAUCUCUUGAACCCGGGAGGCGGAGGUUGCAGUGAGCCGAGAUUGCGCCAUUGCACUCCAGACUGGGCAACAAGAGCAAAACUCCAUCCCCCCAAAAAAAAAAAAAAAAAAAAAAAAAAAGAGAGACACAUCAUCACUGUACAAAUUGUAAACUAUAUAGAAAAUAUAAAGAAAGCCAGAAAUAAAGCCCCUUCAACCUGGAAA